ACUGCUGGACAAGGAGUGUUCUGUUGAGCUCAUUUUCACACGAUGAACAACUGGCUUAGAACUGAUUCGGGCAAGGGGAAUCCGACUGUUUAAUUGAAACAAAGCAUUGCGAGGGCCUCAAAGGGUGGUGCCACAAUGUGAUUUCUGCCCAGUGCUCUGAAUGUCAAAGUGAGGAAAUUCAACUAAGCGCGGGUAAACGGCGGGAGUAACUAUGACUCUCUUAAGGUAGCCAAAUGCCUCGUCAUCCAAUUAGUGACGCGCAUGAAUGGAUUAAUGAGAUUCCCACUGUCCCCAUCUACUGUCCAGCGAAACCACAGCCAAGGGAACGGGCUUGGGUAAAUCAGCGGGGAAAGAAGACCCUGUUGAGCUUGACUYUAAUCUGACUUUGUGAAAUGACUUAGGAGGUGUAGGAUAUGUGGGAGCUCUGGUGAUCUUGAAAUACCACUACUYUUAAUGUCACUUUACUUACUCUAUCAGACUGUGGCCUGCUUCCCAGCAGGUUUUUGUUUCAAGGCAUCUCAUCUGACUUGUUGACUUGCGUAGAGGACGUARUCAGGUGGGCAGUUUGGCUGGGGCGGCACAU
rnacentral:rRNA from 1 species